UCGGCGCUCGAUCUCCUCAGGUCGUUUCACCGUCCAGCAGCCCGCAGCAGAAGAUGCCGACGAGCGCUGCGACGAUAAGGAAAUCGAACAGCGUAAAAUAUUCGAAAAUCGCAGACAUUGGCCUGCUCCUCCUAAUUUCCUCCGCUGCAAAUCAUAACAUGAAGGG
rnacentral:sRNA from 9 species